rnacentral:misc_RNA from 1 species
CGGAGAGGCCCUUCCCAUCCUACUCCUUUCGUGUUUCCCUUUUUGUUUCUGCCAACAGCGUACUGUGAGUGCAAUCGCCCCCGCCCCUCACCCACCAGGGCCGACCACCCCGUGUUUGACAUGGCCGACGCCGCGGCGUACCUCAAGCUUGGUAAAAAGAUCCAGUCUAGUCGAUUCGGAAGGGCCGGCGUGGCUCGAGAGGAAGCAACCGUCAUCAAAAACGACGGAUGUGCGGCAGCUGCUAGCGACGGUGGCACUCCUGGCAUAGAUGUCACCUCCAACAGUACCACAAGUGGUUUGGUUGUGGUGCAAGUGAAUGACGCGCAGCGUGAGGUACAGCAACUGCCAAUGAAAAAGAAAAGGGUGGCGAAGCGAUCACGCAGCGGCAGUGACGAAAAGGACCGACCUGCAGCGCCACCGGCGAAGUCGAACUCGAUGGUGAAUGCUACACCCGCGACAAGCACAGGCCAGCCCCCCUCGGAGGACUUAUCCACCAGAGGCGUAGUCUUCGAAGAUGGGUUAAAUUUGACAAAUGUGGCGUCGCCCACGGCGCCGGUUCCGCCGGUAGAAGGGGUGGCUCAGCGGAUCAAUCUCAUGGCGAAGUGGUUCCCUGCGUCCUUGCAAGAGCGCAAACUUGACGCAGCGGUGGCACCCUCCAUGAUGUUUGUGGAGGCGACUGUCGACCGCGUGAACAAAAUGCGUGAAUAUGUCCUUAUCCUCCGUUACGGCAUCGAGGAUGUGGAGGCACUCUUGGAAGAAUCGCGGCAAACCCAGUCGAAUGUGUGGGGAAAGGAGUCGGCAGACGGCAAUUCGACUCAUCAGAGGCCGCGGCGAGAAUACUGGGACCUGUCGAGUAGCGAGGUUCGUGAGCUAGUGCGCUCGGUUGGUCUCCCGACUUUCGCGCAGGCGCUGGCUGAGUUUUCGGAUGCGGUAUUCGGCUCGCACUGGUCAGCUGCAGCGGCUGUCUACCGCCUCUUAUCUCGGCGUCGUCGUGUUUGUGCGCCGAUGGACUACAACAUCAAGGCCUGGCAUGAGUAUCUCAAUACUCACGGGCCAGAAGGCGGGCGCCCGCCACGGCUUUCGGAUGUCCUGUGGCUGAGUGCCGCUAGUACCUCGGCGAUGUUCACCGCCACGGCAAGCCGGCUGCUGCGCGGUGCGCGCUGCUGCGCGGAACAGAUCAGCGUGUCGGAUGCUUCGCUGGACGACAGAGCGUCAUGCACAGCGUCUGAGAGCGACUCGGGGCCCUCAGAUCGACCGAGGUUCUUUGACAACACCGAGACUGCGGCUGAAGAGAACGAGCCGGUGUCGACGCGCGUCUGGCUGAUGUCCGCGCCUGUUAUUUUUCCGCCGACGCUUAGUCAUGAGCAGCGGGCUGUGCUCUCUUUUCUGCGCUUUCUCAUGCCGACCUCUCACUCGUUGCGCGAGCGUACGACCUCGGUGGGCUACGGCGUGUGGCUCUUCGCGGCUUUCAGCGCACUCGACAUCCCGCUAGACCCUGACACAGACCGCCUGGCGCAUGACCUAUUCCGCACCUGCUGCCGACAUCUUCGCACACUCGCAGCCUGGCAGGGUGUGUCCGGCAGCACCCGCGACUUGCUGCUGAGCAAGCUCCAUCCUCGCAGGCCCGACGCGGCUCCACCUUUGUAUACCUCCCUCGACGACAUUCGCAGAGAGGAUGUGCUCGCGCUGUACACGAUCGUCGUCGUUCUUGCCCGCUUCUUCCGUCAAAACCAGGACCAUUUCAUGCCUUUGUGAGUGUUUCCACAACGCCGCUGGCAGAGUACGAUUCACGCGCAUUCCUUGCAGUGCGCCACUUUGUUAGCCUGUAUCCGUAUAUCUGUGCGCUUGUGGGAGUGUGGCGGGAGUGGCCUGUGUGUGCGUGUGUGCGUACGUUGGCAAUGGACAUGAUCAUAGGCCCCCCUCCCUUGAGCCAGCUUCCAGUAUAAGCUCGCUAAAAGGGAUAAAGAAAAGACAGCGGACUCGCCUGCCGUCAUGGGCGGCCACGAAGUGAUCCGAUCCUCCAUCAUCUGAAUCUUGUCAGGAGGCCUGUUUUUUCUUGUCGUUGUCCCAGCGCUUUUGGUGAGCUCUGAUAGCCAGUUCAGGAGGGGGAGGGGCGCCGCGUCGCGGCACCAGGACCCAGCCACCCACGCACAGUGUGUGUGGGGACGCCAAGCACCUACGGCGUCAGGUGGGGGUGGGGGCCAUCAGAGCGAUUUGCCGCUGCCGGCGUCGGCGGGGAGACACGCCUGUGCCACCCGUAUGACGCGGCAGAGCGUCCGUGCAGCUCGAACGCACCUCACACCCGGCUCUCGGUCUCCACUGGUGGUGGUGGUGGUGGGAGGGGGUGGGGGCCUCUGCGCCACUCCGGGGGAGCGGAGUUGGUGAGAAGAGUUUGGGGCACAGGCCGUGCUCGGGUGACUGAGUCGGCGCCUUGCGGCAACGCGUGCCUGCCGCUGCUUCGCACCGGGCUGAUGGGAGCCUCUGAACGAUUGGGAGAAAAUGGAAUGGAACUCUUGCUGAGUGGCAGAGGAGACGCUGUGACACUUGAUAAAAAAAAUUGGUUUGUGUCUAACAGAAGCCACUGCACACGAAUUCAAGGCGUGCUUGCACAUUUCUUAAAGGUGCGCAUGAUAAGCUAUCCGAGGUACUCCUCAUGGGAUUGCUCUUGUCGCUCUUCUGCCCACUCCUCUUACUCCUCACAUCCCGCGAACACGAUUCCGUCUCUGUUUUUCAUCUUGGCCCCUC